UGAGUGGUUUCUAUCCUUUCCCCUAGGAGGAGAGCAAGUUACCUCGAACCUUAAGCACAAUAGACCUUAUCAAUGGCGUGUUCUGAUACUUUUUUGUAAAUUAGAACCAGAAAUUGCAUGAGAGAUUCUGUUUGGGUCCACACUUAGCCCUGAUCUAGUCUGCAAUUGGAUGGUUAAAUCUUGAGUGUUAUGCAUACCCACGCGGAAUUUGCAAGAACACCCAGGCAGAGGGCAUGAAGCUUCUGGUAGAGUGUGAGGUCCUCUUUGACAAGGACAGAGCGAGGGAGAAGGAAAGCUGCGAUCCGUCUGGUUUGUAAUCUAUAGAUGAGAAUAAGAAUGUUCAACAAGGAUGAUGGGACCAUAAAACAAUUGAAUACUCAAUACCUACAAGAACAGGAAGGCUGAGGGAAGCUUCUGGGGAAUGGGGAGCCAUGAAUUGUUCAUCCGCGUUGAGAGUGACAGAGCGAGGGAGAAGGAAAGCCGCGACCUGUCUGGUGUUGUAAUAUAAAUCUAUCAAUCUUUUAUAAGAUGAAACAACAAUUGUUCAAGAUCGAAAAGCCCUCUUCCCUUCUGGAUGGCAGUUGAAUUAGCCAGGUUGGAUCAGCAUCGUAUCUCUAUUCCACAUCCCUUUGAAGAAAUCGAAGGCAGUUUGGCUCACAAAUUGACCUUAGAACUGUGGGAGAAAGAGGAGGAGGUUCUGAGCCGCAGGAUUGACCUCAAGGACACAAGGCGCAUGAGCAUUCAGAACGAAAUCUACCAACUACUGGAAUUCUAUUUUGUUUUGCAGGGAUUCGUUUUGACUGCCCUGUUUCAGACAUUCCAAGCCCCCAAUCACGUUACUUGCAAAUCCUCGUGGAGCCCCUUUGCCUUCUCUUUACUGGUUUUAUUGGCUGCUCUUGCUGCACUUCACUACAAAUUCAAGGACCAGUUAGAGAUUGAAGAGCUUCUGCAAGAAGAGAAACAGGACUGCAGGUCCCUGUUCAAUUGUAUUACAGAUCUCAGAUCUCAAGGUGCUCUCUUUGAUAUCAACACCAUCAAAAGAUCCCAUUGCAGCCCUUCCCCUGCACCCAAAGUUGGGUUAAGGUGUUGGAGCUACUGGUUGGGUGAUCCAGGGGCUCUCACUGUUGUCUUGGUUGCUUUCUCUGCAGUCAUUUUCUCCUCUUGUCGGUUUGUCCUCUGCUCAGACCCAAUUUGAUUAAGGGAGCGCUCCUAGAAACCCAGAAAAAUGUGCUUCAAUUUGUGGAGAUCGGAGCAAACAGUGAGAAUAACAUCCAAUGUGGCGGCACCUGAGAAUGGAGAAAAGAGGGUUUGGGAUAAGCAGACUGUUAUUCAAAACCAAACAGAGGACACCAUCGUCCUUCGUGAUAUGCACAGGUAUGUAUGGAGGCAGGUGAGAAUGGAGCUUCCGCCACAGGAGUGUAAGAAGAUAUCUAUAAAGGCACCCACUACAUUCUUCCGGAUGGGAGCAAUGCUCAAGCUGAAUGAUCAACAUGAGAAAGAUCUAAAGAUCUAUAUUGAUACAGAACAGCUUGCGGGUCGGAACAACAUCUCUAUUUGCAAGGAUGAGAAUGGUAGGUAUUUUCUGCAGGAGCAUGGCGAUCAAUAACUAUGUCCAGGGUUGUGUUGUUUUGGGAGUCUUUUGUAGACCUAGUGGUCUAGUGCUUUCUGUAUCUUUCUACUCAGUACCGUAAUUCUUCUACAAUAUAUAGUACACCUAAUCUUCAGAGAAAAUUUCAGUUUCCAUGUCCAGUAAUCACUAGGAGCUGAUUCAAGAUAUGUCUUAUGUGAUAUGUUGUUAUGUAAUGGUAUCUAAAGAUUUCGCGAUGUAUUCAAUUCUUUUCAAAUAAUAAGACAUUGAAUAUACUAUUUGUCUUCCAA